rnacentral:antisense_RNA from 1 species
AGAGGCGCCGCGGGAGGGGGUGCUCUCGGGCGAGCUCUCCAGCCGCGGCCUCCGCCCCUGCGCUGUCGGGCGGGGAGGUCGGAAACCCCCUGGCGAGACCACGGGCGGACGCUUCCCGAAGAGCUGCCUGGGCUGCAGCCGCGGAAGCUGCGUUCUGGGGAGCGGGGAGCGUGCUCCGGCGCCCUCGGGCCGCUGCUGGAAGCCGGAACCGAGCCCGGGCCGCUGCCCCUUACCGGACGCCGCGCGCGCCACCGGCUCUCGGCGGGGCAGGGGCUGCUGCGAGCUCGCCGGGCGCCCUUUAGACAGUUGUCCUUGUCUACUCCACUACCAAAUGUUGAAGUUCUUCAAGAAUCAGUCCUUUGGAGGCAUUUAAGGAAAUCUGUUUCUCUGUUGAAUCACUAGCUGCGAAUUAAGCUAACAGAACAGAAGCCCAACUGGUCACACACAGCAACGAAUACAGACUUUAUAAACUUCAGAAAAGUUACCAAACAGUGGUAACCAUAACAAGUACCAACAAUGAACUAUGGGGAGAGAGGAGAAUCUGAUUUCCAGAGUUACCACAUUAUAAUACUAUUCAAAAUGUCACAUUUUUAUGAAAGAUUACAAACAAGGAAAAACCAGAAAAGUGUGGCCCAUACACAGGUAAAAAAAGAAAUUAAUAGAAACUAUCCCUGAAGAAGCACAGACUUUGGAUGUACAAAACAAAGACUCUUCAUCAACUCUUUUAGAUAUGCUAGAAGAGCUGAAGGAAACCAUGGACAGAGAACAAAAAAAUUAGGAAAGCAAUGUCUCAUCAAAUACAGAAUAUCAAUAAAGAGAUUGAAAUUGUAGAAAAGAACCAAAUAGAAAUUCUGGAGUUGAAAAGUAUUAUAACUAAAACUGAAAAUUCACUAGAGGUAUUCAGCAGCAGACUGGAGAAGUCAGAAGAAAGAAUCAACAGGCUUCAAGAUAGGUCAAUUAAGAUUAUGCAGUCUGAGGAGCAGAAAGCAAAAAGAAUGAAGAAAAAUGAACAGAACAUAAAAGACCUCUGGGACUCUAUCAAGCAUACCAGUAUAUGCAUAAGGGGAGUCCCAGAAGAAGAAAGAGAGAAAGGGACAUAAUAUUUGAAGAAAUAAUGGUAGAAAAUGUCCCAGCUUUGGUGAAAUACAUGAAUCUAGAUAUUCAAGAGGCUCAAAGAACCCUAAAUAGGGUAAACUCAAAA